CAGCCGCCACGGUAAUGCGUAGGGUGCGAGCGUUAAUCGGAAUUACUGGGCGUAAAGCGUGCGCAGGCGGUUUUGUAAGACAGGCGUGAAAUCCCCGGGCUCAACCUGGGAAUGGCGCUUGUGACUGCAAAGCUAGAGUGCGGCAGAGGGGGAUGGAAUUCCGCGUGUAGCAGUGAAAUGCGUAGAUAUGCGGAGGAACACCGAUGGCGAAGGCAAUCCCCUGGGCCUGCACUGACGCUCAUGCACGAAAGCGUGAGGAGCAAACAGGAUUAGAUACCCCUGUAGUCCCUGUCUCUUAUAA
rnacentral:rRNA from 1 species